rnacentral:rRNA from 1 species
GAGUUUGAUCGUGGCUCAGGAUGAACGCCGGCGGUGUGCCUAAUACAUGCAAGUCGUACGCACUGGCCCAACUGAUUGAUGGUGCUUGCACCUGAUUGACGAUGGAUCACCAGUGAGUGGCGGACGGGUGAGUAACACGUAGGUAACCUGCCCCGGAGCGGGGGAUAACAUUCGGAAACAGAUGCUAAUACCGCAUAACAACAAAGGCCACAUGGCUUUUGUUUGAAGAUGGCUUUGGCCAUCACUCUGGGAUGGACCUGCGGUGCAUUAGCUAGUUGGUAAGGUAACGGCUUACCAAGGCGAUGAUGCAUAGCCGAGUUGAGAGACUGAUCGGCCACAAUGGAACUGAGACACGGUCCAUACUCCUACGGGAGGCAGCAGUAGGGAAUCUUCCACAAUGGGCGCAAGCCUGAUGGAGCAACACCGCGUGAGUGAAGAAGGGUUUCGGCUCGUAAGCUCUGUUGUUGGAGAAGAACGUG